UACGUAGGGUGCAAGCGUUAAUCGGAAUUACUGGGCGUAAAGCGUGCGCAGGCGGCUAUGUAAGACAGAUGUGAAAUCCCCGGGCUCAACCUGGGAACUGCAUUUGUGACUGCAUUGCUGGAGUGCGGCAGAGGGGGAUGGAAUUCCGCGUGUAGCAGUGAAAUGCGUAGAUAUGCGGAGGAACACCGAUGGCGAAGGCAAUCCCCUGGGCCUGCACUGACGCUCAUGCACGAAAGCGUGGGGAGCAAACAGG
rnacentral:rRNA from 1 species